rnacentral:rRNA from 1 species
GGACCCGCACAAGUAGUGGAGCAUGUGGUUUAAUUCGAAGAUACGCGCAGAACCUUACCAACACUUGACAUGUUCGUCGCGACUUUGAGAGAUCAAAGUUUUCGGUUCGGCCGGACGAAACACAGGUGCUGCAUGGCUGUCGUCAGCUCGUGUCGUGAGAUGUUGGGUUAAGUCCCGCAACGAGCGCAACCCUCACUUUUAGUUGCCAUCAUUAAGUUGGGCACUCUGAAAGAACUGCCAGUGAUAAGCUGGAGGAAGGUGGGGAUGACGUCAAGUCCUCAUGGCCCUUACGUGUUGGGCUACACACGUGCUACAAUGGUAUCUACAACAGGAAGCAAGACUGCAAGGUUAAGCAAAUCCUAAAAGAUACCUCAGUUCGGAUUGCACUCUGCAACUCGAGUGCAUGAAGCUGGAAUUACUAGUAAUCGU